rnacentral:rRNA from 1 species
AUACUGGGCCUUUUUGGGCUUGGUAAUUGGAAUGAGGGAGAGUUAAACGGACCAUCGAGUAUCCAUUGGAGGGCAAGUCUGGUGCCAGCAGCUGCGGUAAUACCAGCUCCAAUAGCGUAUAUUAAAGUUGUUGCAGUUAAAAGCUCGUAGUUGGACUUGUGUGCGCUGUCCGCGGGUGGCCUGCGCCCAAAAGGGCGUUUCGGUUCGGCCCCGGUGGCGCCUUGAAAUCUGCAGCUGGGGGGACGUUGGCCUUAACUGGUCGGCGACCGCACGCCGGCUGCUCGGUUACUGUGAGAAAAUUAGAGUGUUCAAGGCAGGCAUUGGGUGCAAUUGAAUACAUUAGCAUGGAAUAAUAAAAUAUGGCUCCUGCCGUAUUUUGUUGGUUUUGACUGGUGGGAGUAAUGAUUGAUAGGGACGGUUGGGGGUGCUAGUAUUGAGCGGCCAGAGGUGAAAUUCAUGGAUUCGCUCAAGACUAACUUAUGCGAAAGCAUUCACCAAGGACGUCCUCUUUAAUCAAGAACGAAAGUUGGGGGAUCGAAGACGAUCAGAUACCGUCGUAGUCUCAACCAUAAACUAUGUCGACUUGGGAUCGGCGGUAGUUUUUUCAUUAAGACACUGUCGGGACCACGGGAGAAAUCAAAGUGUCUGGACUCUGGGGGAAGUAUGGUCGCAAGGCUGAAACUUGAAGGAAUUGACGGAAGGGCACCACCAGGAGUGGAGCCUGCGGCUUAAUUUGACCCAACACGGGGAAACUUACCAGGUCCAGAGAUGUAGAGGAUUGACAGAUUGAAGCUCUUUCUUGAUCACUUCGGUGGUGGUGCAUGGCCGUUCUUAGUUGGUGGAGUGAUUUGUCUGGUUAAUUCCGUUAACGAACGAGACCUCAGCCUGCUAGUGUAGUCGGCUGGAUUGCCUUUGGCGAUCCGUGAUUUCGACUUCUUAGAGGGACAAUCGACGCGCAGUCGAUGGAAGUUUGGGGCAAUAACAGGUCUGUGAUGCCCUUGGAUGUUCUGGGCCGCACGCGCGCUACACUGCUGGGCUCAGCGAGUUUUACUUGGCCGAGAGGCCCGGUUAAUCUUGUGAAAUCCCAGCGUGCUUGGGCUCGCCUCCUGCAACUGGAGGCGCCAACGAGGAAUUCCUAGUAGACGCAGGUCAUCAACCUGCAUCGAUUACGUCCCUGCCCUUUGUACACACCGCCCGUCGUUCCAUAAGAGUGAGGCAUCCGGUGAAUUCUCGGGAGAGCCUGGGCGUGGCCAGCAAUGGUCUGCUCGGGUUUGAACUUGCAUAAACUUGGUGCCUAUGAUUAGGG